rnacentral:lncRNA from 1 species
ACACAGCUCUCAUUUGCCACACUCGCUUCACAACCCUCAUUCAGAGCGCCACCUUUCUUUAGUGUUUCCUUCAUCAGUAUUUAUUAUGGUUCUAUUUGUCUCUAAAUUAUUUCUUCAUUAUUGGAGUAGAUAUUAUUUUCAAACAAAUUUCACUUAGUUUCUCUCUAUGACUUAAGUUAUUGUGCCUCACUUACAUGUUGCUACUGUAUACUUUUUUAUUACCAGGUUGUUUGAUGGCGAUGUUAAGCCAGGCUGCCAGGCUGUGAAAUAAACUGCUUAUAUGCCUUAGUUAAACAACAUUAUACAACAAGAAAGAAGGAAAUGGAAUCCUGGAUAAUAAAUUUGAGUUGUAAUGCUUAUAGCAUUGUUAACCAGUCACACCACAAGUGGCUAUAAUGCUUAAAUAUCAUUAACCAAUCAAACCACAAGUGCUUUAAACUCUUAACGCCUUGAUAGCCAGUCACAUCUCAAGUGGGGCUAAAUUGAAAACAUUACAGUAAAAUAUGUCUUGUGUAUUUAUGCCCUGUGGAGAGAUGUCAUCUAGGCUGUAAAUCACAGCACUUAAGGAGUUGUUAUGAACUAUAAAUAUAUUUUAUUAUGCUCAGGAAGGUGUAUGUUCCUAGGAAAUUGUUUCUCAAGUCUGGAGCUGGAGAGAGGAAAGAGUGCUUGAGGGUGGUGCAAGCCGUGCAAUUAAAUGCAAGAGAUGCUUGAGACUACAACUAACUUCUUUGUCUGGGUGUGAAAUUCCAUUUAUUCUGAGAGCAGUAUUUGUUCUUAGACCCACUAGCACAUACUUGAUAGAAGGAAUUUUCAUAACGUAUAUUGUGUAUAUGACAGAGUGGUUUGUCACCAAAUGUGGUGUUUCUGGUUCUUUUCUAGGUAUGUGACUUGGCUUUUAGCCUGAAGAAAAUGCUUAUUCGACACAAGAUGACACACAAUCCUAACCGUCCGAUGGCAGAGUGCCAUUUCUGCCAUAAGAAGUUUACAAGAAAUGACUACCUCAAAGUGCACAUGGACAACAUCCAUGGGGUAGCUGACAGCUAAGAGGAGCGGCAAGGAACCACACCAUGUGAAAGAGCUUCUACUAUGAAUCCCAGAUUCUUCUCACCUGAUCGGCUUAACAGAAAUAGCCACAAAGGAUUCAUUGAUCUGACAGUGUUUAUGUGCCUAUCUUUGUAAUCUAUAGAUGCAAAAAAAAUCCUUUUACCAAAAAUAAAUUCAAAAUAGAAAACAAUAAUACUUUGUAGAUUACAGAGUAUUCUGGCUGAUUAAAAAUUAAAUACAGAGUACGGCUCUUGACUUUCUUUUAUGAAGUUUAUUAAUAUGUACCCAUUAGGCCUUUAUGUUGUUAUUCAUGUGUGUGAAUAUUGCAGCUAGUUCUCACUAAUUCAGGAAGAAAUCAAGACACCUGAGUACUUCUUUACAGAUACUACUAGUAAGACCAUGUGUUUUUAAAGUCUCAAGCAUGAAAAUAUUUGAUAAAUAGACAAGGAUUUCAUCGUAUUUAACAAUUACCUUAAAAUAAAGAGAUAUUUGAGAACUAAAGUUUCUUUUAAAAUAGUGCUCACUUUAUAGAUUUCUGAGAACACACUAUUUUUAUGCAUCGUUCUGAUGCUUGUAUCCAUGUUGUAGAACUGCUUUAUAUAGUAGAAACAAGUAUAACGGCUAUAUUUUAUUUUUAUCAGACUGAUCUUGGUGAGUUUUAAUGUCCAUUCUGAGAAAUUAGCAGUAGUAAACACUCCAAGCUAGAAAUAGAAAGUUAUUUCCCGCCAUCACAUCAGUUACAUGGAGAUGGCCCCGGCAUGCAGGAGUUGUCCAUACAGGUACAACAGUUCUCAGAGCCUUGUCUUACUGAUGUGAUUCUCAUCACACUUUUGAAUUAUCCUCAAUCAUCUCAUGCAGUUAGAAAUCUAGAAUACC